UACGGAGGGUGCGAGCGUUGUUCGGAAUCACUGGGCGUAAAGCGCGUGUAGGCGGCUUCCUAAGUCUGAUGUGAAAGCCCGGGGCUUACCCCCGGAAGUGCAUUGGAAACUGAGAAGCUUGAGUACCGGAGAGGAAGGUGGAAUUCCUGGUGUAGCGGUGAAAUGCGUAGAUAUCAGGAGGAACACCGAUGGCGAAGGCAGGUCUCUGGGCUGACACUGACGCUCAUGCACGAAAGCGUGGGGAGCAAACAGG
rnacentral:rRNA from 1 species